rnacentral:rRNA from 1 species
ACGAACGCUGGCGGCGUGCUUAACACAUGCAAGUCGAGCGGAAAGGCUCCCUUCGGGGGGUACUCGAGCGGCGAACGGGUGAGUAACACGUGAGUGAUCUGCCCUCCACUUCGGGAUAACUGUCUGAAAGGGUGGCUAAUACCGGAUAUUCCUGUGCUGCUGCAUGGUGGUGUGGGGAAAGGGUUUUCUGGUGGGGGAUGUGCUCGCGGCCUAUCAGCUUGUUGGUGGGGUAAUGGCCUACCAAGGCUUUGACGGGUAGCCGGCCUGAGAGGGUGACCGGUCACACUGGGACUGAGACACGGCCCAGACUCCCACGGGAGGCAGCAGUGGGGAAUAUUGGACAAUGGGCGGAAGCCUGAUCCAGCAACGCCGCGUGAGGGAUGAAGGCCUUCGGGUCGUAAACCUCCUGUCAGCACAGGGACGAAACGUCUCGACCGCAUACGUGUGCUGGUGGCCUGACGGUAUGGCCAGUAAGGAAGCACCGGCUAACUACGUGCCAGCAGCCGCGGGGUAAUACGUAGGGUGCGAGCGUUGUUCCGGAAUUACUGGGCCGGUAAAGGGCUCGUAGGCGGUUGUCGCAGUCGGGAGUGAAAUCCACUGGCUCUAACCCUGGUGGCAUUGCUUUCGAUACGGGCAGACUGGAGGUAUGCAGGGAGAGAACGGGAAUUCCUGGUGUAGCGGUGAAUAAUGCGCAGAUAUCAGGAGGAACACCGGUGGCGAAGGCGGUCUCUGGGACUGUCCUGACGCUGAGGACGCGAAAGCGUGGGGGAGCGAACAGGAUUAGAUACCCUGGUAGUCCACACCUGUAAACGAUGGAGCACUAGGUGUCGUGGGAUCAUUGACCCCCGGUCCGUGCCGCAGCUAACGCAUUAAGUGCCCCGCCUGGGGACGUACGGCCGCAAGGUUAAAACUCAAAGGAAUUGACGGGGGCCCGCACAAGCGGUGGAGCAUGUGGAUUAAUUCGAUGCAACGCGAAGAACCUUACCUGGGUCUAGACAACGGAGAAUCCCUCCAGAGAUGGUGGCUUUCCCGUACGGGACUCUCGGUUACAGGUGGCUGCAUGGCUGUCGUCAGCUCGUGUCGUGAGAUGUUGGGUUAGUCCCGCAACGAGCGCAACCCCUCGCCCUUAGUUGCCAGCAAUCUCUCGGAGGGUGGGCACUCUAUGGGGACUGCCCGCGUCAAAUCGGGAGGAAGGUGGGGAUGACGUCAAGUCCUCAUGCCCCUUAUGUCCAGGGCUACACGCAUGCUACAAUGGACGGUACAAAGGGCUGCGAAGUCGCGAGACGGAGCCAAUCCCAAAAAGCCAUCCUCAGUUCGGAUCGGAGUCUGCAACUCGACUCCGUGAAGGUGGAAUCGCUAGUAAUCGCGGAUCAGCAUGCCGCGGUGAAUACGUUCUCGGGCCUUGUACACACCGCCCGUCACACCAUGGGAGCCAGUUGUACCGGAAGCCGGUGAUCCAACCCGCAAGGGAGGUAACCGUCCAUGGUAUGGCUGGUGACUGGGGUG